GGCUCGGUGCGAUGUUGGUAUUUGCAGUCAGCCCCCAAGCCGGCGCUCGCCGGUUCGAUUCCGGUCCGAGUCU
rnacentral:tRNA from 1 species